UAGGGAAUCUUCCACAAUGGACGAAAGUCUGAUGGAGCAACGCCGCGUGAGUGAAGAAGGGUUUCGGCUCGUAAAACUCUGUUGUCAAAGAAGAACAUAUCUGAGAGUAACUGUUCAGGUAUUGACGGUAUUUAACCAGAAAGCCACGGCUAACUACGUGCCUG
rnacentral:rRNA from 1 species